rnacentral:lncRNA from 1 species
GAUGGCAUCACACAACUAUUUUGGUAUGAGAAAUGAGUAACUCAUUCUUCUUCUAAGGACUUAGGAAUUCUGAGCUUAUCUCCAAGGCCUUUUUUGUUUUUGCCAGAUGCUCCUUUGCUUUUAGAUUGCCUCACCUAUGCAGGAAAAAUAACCCAGAAAAGUGAUUCUCAGCAUCACUAUGCACAUGCAUUAGCAGCCAGAAUAAGCACCAACUAAACCCACAGGAAUCACCAAUUCCAGCUCAGGAAAUUGUGAACUAAGUGCUGACACUGCCAUGGUGAGCUUCACAUCCGUAACUACACUUUUGGUCAGAGACAUCAGGAAGGCCUACUGUGUACUUCUGUAUUCUGCACUGAAUCUGAUGCUUGAAGAAGAACUACUGACUUAAGUUCUCUGCUUCAUGACUGCUGGGCCAGUGUCUCCAAGGACUUCAUAUCUUGAGUACAUAUUCCAGAGGCCGAACAAUUAUUGAAUCUCAGAACAUUUUCUCAAAUAAACAAAUAUGUGAAUAAAAAAUGGAAAAUCCAAGGAAAAAUCUUAUUAUAAGGGAG